rnacentral:rRNA from 1 species
AUUUCUCAUCGUCGGUCUUCGCUCGGGAUUAGCAUGAAUGCAAGCGAGAGCGACUUUGAGUACAGCGAUCAUCUCACCUUCCUGUUCAGAGUCCCCGGCGAGAAAAGGAUCGAGCACAUCAGCGGAUGGUUUCUUCUCUUCUAUACAGAACUGGACCCACUGGACAAGAUCCAUCUGCAUAGUUUCCAAGAGAGCGAUGGGCGAUCUACCAGUAAUCAUUUCGAGCAAGAUCACACCAUAGGAGUAGACAUCCCAUUUCUGCGACGGUUUCAAUGUUUUCAGUGCUUCUGGUGCUUGGUAGCAUGA